GUGUUUGUUGAAAGGAGAGACAGUUGACAUUUCCCCUAAUAGGGACGGGAACGCCUUCGGGCUUGCCUGUUACCACACAUGGUUAAGGCCACCCGCUUCGGCGGAUCUUACCUAAUUUUUCU